rnacentral:rRNA from 1 species
GAUGAACGCUGGCGGCGUGCCUAAUACAUGCAAGUCGAGCGAAUGGAUUAAGAGCUUGCUCUUAUGAAGUUAGCGGCGGACGGGUGAGUAACACGUGGGUAACCUGCCCAUAAGACUGGGAUAACUCCGGGAAACCGGGGCUAAUACCGGAUAACAUUUUGAACCGCAUGGUUCGAAAUUGAAAGGCGGCUCCGGCUGUCACUUAUGGAUGGACCCGCGUCGCAUUAGCUAGUUGGUGAGGUAACGGCUCACCAAGGCAACGAUGCGUAGCCGACCUGAGAGGGUGAUCGGCCACAAUGGGACUGAGACACGGCCCAGACUCCUACGGGAGGCAGCAGUAGGGAAUCUUCCGCAAUGGACGAAAGUCUGACGGAGCAACGCCGCGUGAGUGAUGAAGGCUUUCGGGUCGUAAAACUCUGUUGUUAGGGAAGAACAAGUGCUAGUUGAAUAAGCUGACACCUUGACGGUACCUAACCAGAAAGCCACGGCUAACUACGUGCCAGCCGCCGCCGUAA